rnacentral:lncRNA from 1 species
CACGAAAAAUUUUCAGCAAAGUGAAACAAAUCAAAAUUUAAAGCAUUUCAAAGGUAUUUGUACAUAAAUAGAGGCUUAAUUUGUGUAAAUCCUGCUUUUAGUUAUCCGCACCAUUGAGAAGAUUAAUGGAAUUAAUUGUUGGAUAUUGAGGAAGAGCGAUUUUCAUUCAAUCUUGAAAUUACUUGCUAUGGUAAUUUCACUUCUCAUUGCUUUUAUGUUUUCAUUUGAAAUCAUGUCUUGCAGAAAUUUUUGGUGAAAAGAUUACUUUUAAUUAUCCGUACCAUUGAGAAGAUUAAUGGAAUUAAUUGUUGGAUAUUGAGGAAGAGCGAUUUUCAUCCAAUCUUGAAAUUACUUGCUAUGGUAAUUUCACUUUUCAUUGCUUUUAUGUUUUUGUUUGAAAUCGUGUCUUGCAGAAAUUUUUGGUGAAAAGAUUACUUCUUUUUUUUAAUCUAGGUGUGAUUAAAUUAGCUAAUAUUGAAUUGGGCUUUUUUGGAAGAAUUUUAAGUGAAAAUAAAGGAAUUUUUCAUGGGGAUGCUGACGUGGACUGUUUAAGUGGUGUUUUUUGUCCACGUGGCAUGCUUGGUGUCAUUCCGUUAGAUAGAGAGUAUUUUUAAGCCAAAAAUUUAGCGAAGAGAUAUUUUUUAUCCAAAAACUAACAAAGAGUAUUUUUGCUCCAUUUCAAAUAGUCCAGGGGUAUUUUUAACCCUUUUCCAUAAUUUUUUUUCUUUCUCCAAUAUAUUAGCACUAGGAAAACGUAUAUAUAUUACUUCCUCUAUUUCAAAAAGAAUGACAUACUUUCCUUUUUAGUCCAUUUCAAAAUAAUGACCUCUUUUCUUUUUUGAUAAUACUUGAAUUUCAACUUUGUACAUGACAUUUUUAGAAUCACAAGAUUAAAAGACAUUUUGAUACAUUUGACACAACUUUAAUUUAAGGCCGCAAGAUUCAAAAGUCUUUUUUAUUUUUUAAAAUUUUGUGUCAAGUCAAAGUAGGUCAUUCUUUCCGAAACAGAGAGAAUAUUCAUAUAUAUGUAUGCGUUGAUGGUUCAAGAGAUCUAAUAAUUAUAUACAUAUAUAUAUAUAUAUUUAAUCUUUGUAGAGAAAACCUUUAUUUUCUCCCGAUUGUAUGUAGUUAGCCUCAUCCUAUGCUAGACUGGCGAGUUUAUUAUUUUCACGACUUUUUCUUUUUUAAGCGAGGUAGAGAUAAAUCGAAGAAAUAUUGGAGGAAGGUGAUUAGACAUAUGACAUGAAGCAACUUCAACUUAUCGAGGAUAUGAUCCUAAAUAGGACG